rnacentral:lncRNA from 1 species
UUUUUUUUUUAACGUUGGACUUCUUAUUCAUCGAUUGGAUGGAAAACUGAACAAAUUAAACAAGCCAGCCAGCAGAGAGCAACCUUGAAAGCUCCAUCGAGUCAAUUGAAUCCAACCCUCAUUGAAGAAACCGUUUUGGUUCUUCUUUUAUUUUUUAUUUUUUUUGAAUAAGCUUCUUCUUCUUCUAUUCUGCAAUAAAAUCAACAAAAAACCAAACCAAAAAAAGGGUUGAAGCGAAAACCAAAGAUAUAUGUGACAGUGAGGGUGGGGUGAGUCAGUGUUGUUUCAGAGAGAGAGAGAGAGAGAAUCCACUUUCCCCAUUUCCUUCCCCACUAUAUUAUUAUUAUCUUCCCAAUUAAUCUUCCUCUGCUCUAUCCUGUUUGUGUUGUUUUCUAUGAGAGGAAAGAAAGAAAGAGAGGGCAAGCAAGGAAAUGAAGGAAGAGUUUGGUAGGUCUUUUAAAUUAAUGGGGAUGGAGAUGAUGUAUUUGGAGUUGGGGAGGUCCUCUUCUUACCAGGACUCCCUCAAAGUUCUUGAAGCUGAUAUUCAGUAUGCUAAUACUCUGUAAGUGUAUCAUCUUACUUUACCUUUUUAGGGGGUUUGGUUUAUCUGGAAGUGGGUUGUGUUCUUGAAAUGAUUAAAAAGCUCUCUUAUUUAUCAAGCUUGCUUCUUGCCCUUUGUUCUUCAUUUCUGUGGGAUUUUCAAGUAUAUGGAUUUUCCAUUCCCCCAUGGGUUUGGGUUCUAUGUUGAUUCUAUGAUGUGGGUUGUGUUCUAAAUCCUGGUUGUUGCAUCUGGUCUUGAUUUCUGUACGAUUUUUCAGUGGCCAUGAUCAAAGUUGGAUUCUUUUUUUCUUGCUAAAUUGAUGGGGAAACAAAAGACGGUUACUUCUCUUUUUUCAGAGUUCGUGGCACACGAUUGACUUAGCAACCGUGUCUAUGUCAGUUGUUGGGUCCGUAAAAUCAGCUGGAUGUUUCUAGGUCUUAUCCAAAGUCAGUUACAUGUUGAGUUUGUUGAGUUACAUGUUACUGGUUAAUUGGUUGCUGAGUUUAUCAAGUUAAUCAUGAUCACAAAUAGGUGAAAUCACUCAAGCUCCACUUGCAGCCAGCUAAAGUUGGUUGCUUUUGCCAAAUUUUAGGAUCCUAUCAAAAUGAUGAAACUCUCAAAUCUUGACCUAAACCAACACCAAUUGUUGUUUAAACUCUUUCAUAUGUUUUAUUUCACAGGGCUGCUGAAAUCCCUAGAGGGAAAGGUGGUUCAUAUCUUCAAAUGAAGCUAGUCUACAAUCAAUGGGCUCCCUUUUUCUUGUUCUUGCUUCAGAGGAUAGAUUCCUCUUGCGUCUGUUUACUCCCUAGAUAUCUCAAUCUCUUCCACGUCCUUGUUUACAAGGUAAAUGUAAUGUCAAUGACCAAAUGAUUCAUGGUUUAUAGUUGUUAUUGUUGUUGUUGUCUUUGCUCAUUUGAAAUGUCGUUUCUGUAGGUUCACGACAGCAUAUCGCGGGUUUCUGCUCAUGGAAGGAAAGCAACAGUCAAGGAGUUCUAUGGUAUGGCCGAUCCCAUGAAGAAUUCGAUGCCUUUUAUGUGUCUUGCAUGUUUUGUGCUUUGGAUGAUGUUGUGAUGUACAAAUUCACUUGCCACAUUGUUUAGGUGUCAUCUUACCUUCCCUUCAAAGGAUUCACAGCAACUUAGAUGAAUUCAAUAUGGUGCUAGAUGUUAAGCAAGGGGUUCGAGCAAUCGAGAGCUCAAAAGUAAAGAAGAUGGAUGGCGAUCAUAAGCUUAUAAGCAUCGAUCUGGAGAGGGAAGAUGAAUGUGGCAUCUGCUUGGAGCCUUGCACCAAGAUGGUUUUGCCUAAUUGUUGUCAUGCAAUGUGCAUCAAGUGCUACCGCAAUUGGUAAAAUGCCCCGAAGAUCUUUGAGCCAAUCCUUUUGUGCAUUACUGCUGGUAUGAUCGCACCCUUGACAUUUUUAUGAUGUUAUUUUCUUCGGCAGGAACACGAGGUCGGAGUCGUGUCCAUUCUGUCGCGGAAGCUUGAAGAGAGUCAACUCAGAAGACCUAUGGGUACUCACUUGCAACAAUGAUGUGGUUGAUACUAUGCAGGUUACGCGGGAAGACCUCUUGCGAUUCUAUCUGUACAUCGAUCGCCUGCCAAAAGACUACCCGGAUGCGCUCUUCUUAGUGUACUAUGAGUAUCUACUCUGAGUCUUGAUGGAUUGAAUUGGAUCAAAUGAUGUACAGAGGGGGUUUCGCAAAUGCUGCCGACCAGAUCAAAUGUAAAUAGAGUCCGGUAUGGUGCAGCCUUGUGUGAUUCGUCCAUGAAGUCCCAACUUCGUAUCGGAGAACCAGAGGCAAAAUGCAGACCAUCACCUUGUGUUCUGCUUCUGUAAUUUGUUAUUGAUGAGAGAGCUGCCCUUCAAAUGCUUUCAUGGAGAGUUUGGCUUAUAUUUAUCAAUUGUAAUGGCAACAUUUGAGCCUCUUCUGAUCCCAUGACGGAUGCUCAAGUUAGUAUAUUGUUUCAGAGUUUGGAUGUCUGGCUUGUGUUUUUACCUUUUUCUGUGGUGGCUGCGGAUUUGAAUUGUUUGCAUCUUCAACAUUCAAACCUGUAAAUGCUCACAAUAAAAACAUUCCUUCUCAAAAGUGGGUAUUGUUUCUCCAGUAACCAAGUUUUGGAUGGACCCAAUGGGUUUGAUUUCUUGUCCAAAACCCCCUUUGUUGUACUUGUUUCGAGUUUGGGUCUUGGGUUAUGGCCUAAUGGUUUUGUACUCCGUUUCAUACUCUGAUUCGAGUUCAAGGGUCCAUGGACCCUGAUAUUUUCAAGGUUCAAUCACAUUCCUCUAAUGACUAAAGCUAGUUGAGUCCUUGCAUAAUUGAGGUCCUUCCACCACCGGUGAAGCGAUCUGAGUGAACCUGUCUAGUGAAUUCUAAUGAGAUUGGUUGGAGUGGGAACCUCGUAGAUAAAAGAGUGUCAGUAUAUGGCUAAGCGUUUAUAGAAAGACAUUGGGGAUGCCCUUAAGGAGACUAAAUGUGUGCACGGGGUAGUAUUGUGUUGUCCUUUGAAUAAUGAUCACAUACUUCUUUUAUAACAUCUUGAUAUUUUGAGCUUAUCAUCUUAAAAUUUUCUCUGAUUCCUGAAAAUGUCUAGGAUUGCCUAUGACUUGUCAAGCAUUACUGAGAACCGAUUCCAUAAGAACAACUGAAUUCGACCCAUUGGUCUAACUGACGAUUGUCCAACUCCUUAAGGACAACUGAGUCUGACCCAUUGGUCUAACUAGCGAGAGGGUCUAAGAUAAUUAAGAUCAUACUAAUACAAUCUCAAAAUAAAUUGUUAAUAAUGUCUAAAUUAUUUUAUUUGAAAUAAAUUCUAUAGAGUGGUCUGAUUCUUAGAGUGGUAUGAGAUCCCUUGCCAAUAUUUCUCUAAUUUUUUCAUCAUGGUAAAAAUAAAAAAUGCGUGACGUGGAAAUUGGAGCAAAAUCCAGUGCUGGAAUCAUUGCAGCUUUUAUAAACCAUCAUUCUGAUCACCGUCAGAUUGAGCUCAGAAGUAUACACUUCAGCCCAUCACUCGCCGUUGAUUUUAAUUUCUUCUCAUUCUUUAAUUUCCCUGUCUUAACUCUUAAUCACACAACACAAGUCACGAAAGAUCCCAAUCGUCUUCUCGUUUCUAGGGAUUCUGAUCUUCCGCCAAUUUGAAGAUUUCUGGCGGGUAAAUGUGGUAGAGCAAAAAUGUCCGGCGGCAUAGACGGCGAACACGAGCCCUUUACCGGCGAGCAGGAUGAAGCCGGCGAAGGCGAAUCAAUCCAAGGAGCUGAUGCAAAUCUUGAAACUCCGACCGAUCAGGUACCUAAUCAUUUUCAAUGCUUUGUAGGGUGACCCGUUUUCAUUCCGUUAGAUUUGCUGAGUGAGAGCGAAAUGCAGGGAGAAGAUUUGUUUCGGACUCCGGUUGUGGAGAGCAGGGAUGACAUGUUCGUCGAUGCAACUGGUGACGACGAUGUUCACGACGGUCAGUUCCAGUUGCCGGAGAAUGGAAAUGGUUCGAAGGAUGAGUCGGAGAAUGGGUGGAAGGUAGUUUUUUACUUUGGUGUACUCUGUAUGUUUGGAUGUUUAUGAACUGUUUGAUUUGUAUGGGUAAUGAAUUGAAUUUGAUGUUCUGACUUCAGGAGGAAAGGGAGGGAUUUGUUAGGGAAGUUGCUGGUCUGCGAAAGGAGCUGAGAGGUUUUGUCGAUGGACGGUUAGUGGAUGACGAUCAAAGUGAGGAGUCGUUGCGGGAGAUGGUUAAUGAGUGCUCGAAUUCGGUUAAAUUUGCUUUAGAGCAGAGGCUAGAGGACGAGACGAGGAUGGAUGAACUUCAUAAAGACAUUGAAGAGUUGAAUGUGAAGGUUCAAGGGGAUCAGAAUGUGGAGGUUGUCGUGGAUAGGUUGAUGUCAUUGCUUGGUACGGUGGCUAAUCCAGUAGACAUGAUGGAUGAUUCUGUUCUUGGGAAAAUUGGUUAUGUUGAAAGAAGUGCUGUGAUGUUGAUGGAACAAAAUAAAGCGAUUCUGCAUGAGAUCCAUCAGUUUAGAAAAUCUAUAUACGAAGGAGGUUCAAAUGUGGGUGAAGUAGACGGGGAUGGCGAGUGGAGGCCGUUUCUAGCAACUGUUAAAGCCGAGAUUCUGGACCUGAAGAUGAAAGAGGUGGUUAUGGUGGAGAAAAUGGCCCAUUUAGUGGAUCAAAACAGGCGAUUGGUACUGGAGUCGGAAAAGGCAGCUUCUUCAGAGCUGGAAAGGGUGAAAGAAGAACUUGAGCGUGAAAAGGAUAGGAGUGCUAAAACCAAAGAAAAGCUUAGUAUGGCCGUGACAAAGGGGAAGGCACUGGUUCAACAGCGUGAUUCGUUGAAGCAAUCUCUGGCCGAGAAGGCUAGCGAGCUUGAAAAAUGUUUGACGGAGUUGCAAGAGAAAACAAGUGCAGUUGAAGCAGCUGAGCAUUGUAAGGAGGAACUAGUUAAGCGUGAAAAUUUGGUGUCAUCAUCGCAGAACUCUCUCUCUCAGAGGAAUGCAAUACUUGAAAGCAUUGAAGCGAUAGUGGCACAGACUUCUAUAUCUGAAGAUCUUCAACCAACAGAUCUUGAAGGGAAGGUGAGGAGGAUUGUAGAUCAGGUGGGUUCAUUGCAGGAAAGUAUAUCACAGCAGACAGUUGUGGUUAAUAAUAUUGAAGAAAUUCUUUGUCAGACAACUGUCCCCGAGGAACUAAAAUCGGCAGAUAUUAUUGUGAGACUGAAGUGGCUUUUAGAUUUAGCUAUAUCACUAAAGGAUACAAUAGCUCAAAUAAGUUUACCUGAGGAGGUUCAGUCAGAGGAUAUGGUUGGAAAAUUGAAAUGGCUUGCCGAGGACAGGAGUAAAAUUUCCAGUGAUUUGCUUGAAUUCCAGAAAUUGAAAGAUGCCUUAAGUCUUAUUGAUAUGCCAGAAGCUGUCUCUUCCUCCGAUUUGGUUGCUCAAAUAGGUUGGCUUAAGGGAUCAGUUGACCAGGCAAGAGAUGCAAUAAACAUGCUGGAUGAUGAAACUGCGAAAGCGAAGGAAUCUGCCAGAAAUAAUCUGGACCAGUUGACUGCUUCAAUUGCAGUCGAAAUCCAAGAAAAGGAGCUUCUGAAGGCUGAACUAAAUGAACUAAUGGGUAAGCAUGAAGAGAUGGUGGAAAAGGAACGUCAAGCUUUGUCAGAUAGAGAUCAGAUAAUGAAGAUGCUGGUAGAAGUUACUGGAGUCGAAACAGACGGUUUAGAAGGGUCCUAUCCUAGUUACUCUGAUGUAAGCAUGCUAGUCGGGAGAUGCUUAGAAAAGAUAAAAGAAAAGAACAAUGCUUCAGUUUCUGUUUCUCCUGCUGAUGCUGAGGUCUAUCAUAAUAUGCAAAGCCAUUUAUAUGUCAAGGAUCAAGAAUUGACGCUCUGUAAGACACUUCUUGAGGAGGAUGAGUUGGUGAGAUUACAUGUGCAUAAUCUAUCAGAUUCCCUUAGAACAACAUCUCAGGAGCUUGAAACAUUGAGUUCGGAAAAAGAAUCUAUAAAGAAUGAUCUCAACAGAUCAGAAGAAAAAUGUGCCUUACUAAGGGAGAAGCUUUCCUUGGCAGUUAAGAAAGGCAAGGGGUUGGUGCAGGAUAGAGAAAAUUUGAAACUUCUUAUGGAUGAAAAGAAGUCUGAAAUUAAAAAGUUGAAUCUUGAGGUACAGCAGCAGGAAUCUGUGGUUGGUGAGUGCAGGGAUCAGAUAAACCGGUUAUCUACUGAUUUGGAGCGAGCCCAGAAUCUGGAAGCUGAUCUUGCUGCUGCAAAAGAUCAAAGAGAUCAGUUCCAGCAGUUAUUAUCGGAGAGCAAUAAUAUGCUGCAUAAAGUAAUGGAGUCUUUUGACCACAUUACUCUUCCUAUUGGUUCCAAUUUGGAUGAACCUGUAGGGAAGAUGAAGUCAUUUGCAGACUACCUCAGCGAGUGCCAAGUGGCUAAGACUCAUCUAGAGCAAGAACUAGACAAAAUUAAGGAAGAACAUACUGUUUUGACUAGUAAGUUGGCAGAAUCCCAGCAAAAUCUAAAAUCUGGAGAAGAUGCAUUGUCUGAUGCAGAGAAUCAGAUUUCGGAGCUAGCAGAUGAAAAGAGAGCACUAGAGGCUGCAAAGGAGAAUGUAGAACUAGACUUGCAAAAGGCUUUAGAUGAAGUGAAUGCACGAACUAGCAAGGUCACUGAGGCUAAUGCAGCUAGAAGCUCACUUGAAGAUGCAUUGUCGUUGGCAGAGAAUAACAUUGUGGUCCUUGUUAAAGAAAGAGAAGAAGCUCUAAUUAGCAAGGCUGCUGUUGAAGCCGAUUUAGAAACUGUAAGAGAGGAAGUAGAUAUUCAGUCUGAAAAAUUGACGGAUGCAUACAGAUCUAUGAAGUCUCUGGAAGACACACUCUCUGAGGCGGAAACCAAGGUAGCUUCACUGACUGAAGAAAAUAAUGAUUUCCAGGCUGUCAGAACCCAAUUGGAGAAUGAGCUAAAGAAACUGAAAUAUGAAGCUGAGUCCCAUGUACGUAAGCUUGAAGAUACCACUUCAACCAUUAAAUCAUUGGAAGAUGCUUUGUCAAAGGCUAUGAAUGACAAUUCUGCACUUGAAGAUGACACAAUCAGACAACAUUUUGAGAAGCAAUAUCAAAAUCUCAACAGUAUGGAUCUCAUACUCAACGACUGUUUUGCUAAUGGAGAUUCACAGAUGCUGCAAAUUUCUCCUAUCAUGGUAAGUAAUUACGUGUGAUCUUUCUGUUCAAUGUCGAUCUUUUUCUCUCCCGUAGUUUAAUGCUUUUAUCUCACUGCUAUCUUUCAACAUCAGGAUGAAUCACAUGCAAGAAAAGCUUUCCCACAUGACACUGGUAGUACUAUAAGUGCUGAAAUGGAAACUGGUGACGUUGUUUCAGCUGAUUUGGACAAUGUUUCGUUGUACUUUAAAAAGUUUAGUGAUGGCUUACAGCUGAGGAACAAGAUCCUGACUGAGAAUUUUGAAGGACUUUCGAGCUUCACAGAUGAAUUUGCUGAAGUUCUGCACAGCAAAUUAAGGGUAAUAAAGGAUGCUAUAAUUCUUGCCCGUGAGCGGAUGGAGUCGAUGAAGCAGAAGAUGAUAGACAUGGAAACUAGUAAAGAAGAACAAGAUAGAGCCUUUGCCUUGUUAGAAAAAGAGCAUAAAGUUCUCCUCUCUGCAUGUGUCAACGCUACAAGUGAACUGCAGUUUGAAUCUGUAAACGGUCUGAUGGACCUGAAGUCUGUUCCUGAGCUUGAGAAGUUGAACCAGCUGUUUCAGUUGGACAAUAAUAAUACAGAAAAUCGGACAAUGGAGGAGGACAGUGAAGACAUCAAGAUGGUAGAAAAGUUGUUAUCAGCUACGAGAAAGGUUCGGAACCAGAUUAGAUUGUUUGAACGUACGAGUGAAGUGGCAGCUGCUGUGAUAGAGGAUCUGCAGAACAAAAUGGAGACCAGUGCAGGAACUUCUGAAAACGUCCUAAGAGAAAGGGAUAUACUUCAAAGUAAGGCUGUGGAGUUGGAGAUGGAAGUAGGAGCACUGCAAAACUCGUGCCAGCAGCUGAGGGCCGAACUCGAAGACCAUGAAAGCAUCCAAAGCGAAAGGGACCUACUUCAGAGUAGGAUUGCAGAGCUGGAGGCUGAUGUAGAAGCAUCUCAAAAUUCAUGCCUGCAGUUACGAGCUGAGCUAGAGGACUACAAUGACUCGGAGAAGAAAUUGCACCAAAAAGAAGUAGAGCUUUCAACGUUACAAAGCAAUUUGUUGAUGAAAGAACAAGGUAUACGUCUUCCUAGACCGUGGCUUAAUUUUUAGAACUUUCAAUUGCUUUACCAAGGGCAGACCUUUACUAACUAGUUUGUUCAUUGUUCUCUGCUCCAGAAGCCACAGACGCUCUUAUGUCAACAUCAGAACUGAGAACUCUCUUUGACAAAAUCCGUAGAAUCAAAAUGUUUAAUUCAGGGUCAGAAUUAGAAUCAGUUGGAUCACAUACUUCAUCUGAUGUGAAUAAACUAUUUUACGUAGUUGAUAGUGUGGUACAAUUACAGAAUCAAAUAAAUGCAUUAGCUUCGGAGAAAGAUCAGCUACAGUCAGCGUUAUCCAAGCAGAUUCUUGAAAUUGAGCUUUUGAAGGACGAUGUUCAAAGUCAUUCCAGAAACCAACAGUAUGUAGAAACGAUGAAGGAUGAAAUUUCUGAGAUAACCGUUGGCUUGGAGAAAAUACUUGAUGUUUUCGGAGGUGAUGAAGUUGUUUCGGAUAAAAAACCUGGCAGUGCAAGUAGGCUUUUGCAGCUGUUGGAAAAGCAGGUGAAGGCAUUGUUCUUAGACGCUGAGAAUGCCAAGUCCCACGCUCAGGAGCUUGGUAACAGGUUGCUUGAGAGCCAGAAGGUGGUGGAUGGAUUGUCAACUAGGGUCAAAGUGCUUGAAGAUUCUGAUCGAAGUAGAAGUACAGCACAACCUGAGAUUUUCCAGGAAAUGAGUAUGUUUGAAGCUCCAUCUCCACCAAGUGGCUUGGAGAUAUCCGAAGCUGAAGAUGCUGUAAGUUUCCUAUGAUUAUUUUCAUGGCUACAAAAGUGACUCAAGAUUUUCAACAACGUUAGAGAAAUUAGUUGAACCAUUUCUGUACUCGGUUCUCAAAUGCUCUUCUGCAGGGCUCCAUCGGGAAGAACCCUCCGGCUCCAGUCCCGAAAGCUGCUCACGUAAGAACGAUACGAAAGGGAGGAUCGAGUGACCAUCUCGCAAUCAGCAUCGACUCAGAAUCCUCCACUCUCAUCAACAAGGAAGAAACUGACGAGGAAAAAGGUUUGCAUCGCAAUUAUGCCUUUUUCUCACUAGGGAAUCGUUCUUCAAACUCAAAAGGAAAGUAAGAACAUCCUUUUGUUGUGCAGGUCAUGCAUUCAAGUCUCUCAACACAUCUGGUCUCAUCCCCAGGCAAGGGAAGUCGGUCGCAGACCGAGUUGACGGAAUAUGGUAAAAAACCCCUAAACCAAACUGCCUGUAGUAAAGUAGUAUUCCUUUUACUAAGCCUGAUGAAGUGACUUGAGUUGUAACAAAAUGGUGGAAAAUUGCAGGGUAUCUGGUGGUAGGAAUCUAAUGAGUCGUCCAAGAGCAAGACUUGGCUUGAUUGCCUAUUGGCUUCUCUUGCACAUGUGGCUAUUAGCCACCAUUUUGUAAACGUCAAAACAACAGGAAGAAGGAGCUGCAAUUUGGAAGCUACCUGUACAUCAUAGUUAGAACUAUACAUGAUGAUCAACGACGACGAUGAAUCGAAUAGAUGAUGGUUUACCCCGGGGGAGGCUAGGUCAUGGCCUGAGAAAGUAUUCCCCAAUCCGAAACUACACAUGAUUUUUUGACUAUUGUAUUUGGCUUUCUAAGUUUUCUUCAAGGGUUCUUUCUUGAUCUGCUAUAUAAUCAAGUUGUUGGUCAUCAGUUUGCUCUCUGCAAGUCAUGUUUUAGGGCUUCCUGCAGAGGAAUUAGCAAAGAAGGUGGAAAAGGUUAAAUUUGUUAUCUGUGUUUGAUUGUUUGUACGAGAUACAACCGAUGAAUUUUUUUUCCUAAAACUGUGAAUUGUUCAAGUUCCAGUUCUGUCUCAGUCAGAAUCAGUUACUUACUUGUCAAUGACGUAGAUAAUACAAAUAAAAAGUUAAAAUCGAGAAAUGAGUUUAGAAAGGAAGAGACCUCUAUAAAUAACAUGUUAAGAAAAGAAAAAGGAUCCCGCUGCUGGGAUUAUUAACAUACCUAUUACUCACUCAUCUUUUUUGUGACGAUUAUUAACUAUAAUCAUCCCCAUUUCUUAUUACUCACUCAUCGUAUAGAUUUAGUUCCAUCACUAUCCCAAUCAAAUCAUGGUUAUAACCGCUUCCAAUUGUUAUUUAUCGUCAUGCAAAAAUAUACAAAAUGAAACAGAAAAUGCUUCCAACGGAAUAUUAUUGGGUUUCAACUAUUCAAUAAUACGGGUAAAUAGAGGUUAAGUCGCGGGUCGAUCAUCUUUAUGCGUUUGAUUAUGGUGAUGGUACGGUUACUAUGAAACCUAUAAUCUAUCCUUACUCAUUCUGAGCGGUUAACGAUUAUAACUGUAAUUUUAAAAUACGUGAUCAAUGCGAUUAAUAGCUGUCCACGUGUCGUGAACUCAGAACAGACACAGUGAGCGAAGAACAAAGGAAGGAAAAGGUCGAGUCUUUUCUUCACCAAGUAAUGAGAAAUUAUCAUCUCCAACCAAUAUCGGUGGCGAAACGCCGAAGCAGCCAACCCUGAAACAAGUUAUGCCUUUGACGAUCGGGUUAAGCUAUUGCAGCACCACCGCUGCUCUCCUACUAGCAUGGCGGCGAAGCUUCAACCAGUCAAGUGGAAUUCCGAAGUUUCGAACAAAUGCGUCUGGUAAACGGAAGGUGUUCAAGAAGAAACAACGGAUAGAUGAACAAGAGCAAUCACAAGCCGCCGUAGUUUCUUCUGAUAAGGGAUUUGGAUACGACACUCAGCCUCCGGAGGCAAAUGGGUCUGAUUCUGAGCUGCAGAAGGUCAGCGAUGGUGAGAUUGCUGUUCCUUCUAAGGGAGCUGUAAUUCAGGCUUGCACUCUCACUUCUGGGUUCAUUGCUGGCUUCGGGAUAUUACUUCGACAGGUACUCAAAAUCCAGCUCUUCCAAGUUCUUCCCAUGGGGAAAUUAGUAAUACUAAAGAGAAUUUUUCAACGAAUUUGAAAUUCCAACUUUGUUUAAUUAGGUUUCUCAUGUUGCUGCGGAGGAAGGAUUGCCGAUCCUUGACUGCUCAGAACAAGUCUCUUGUAUGAUGAUAACUAUGGACCUUUUUUCACCAUUCAUGUUCUGUCUAAACUGUGUGCUAAUUGUGUUUCAAUUGCAGUUGGUUUACAGAUUUGGCACCUUGGCUUGAUUCUUGGUUUGGUUUUGCUUAUAUCAUCGUCUCGGUACUUGCUGCUGAAGACAUGGCCGGAUUUUGCUGAGUCGUCCGAAGCAGCGAACCGGCAGGUAGGAUUUUAAAUCCUAUUGAUUUUUGGGCAAUGGUGAUGUACAAAUUACAAUGUGGCCCCCAUUGCUAAUUUCAGGUUCUAUCAUCACUUGAGCCACUAGAUUACUUACUGGUUGCAUUUCUUCCUGGAGUUAGCGAGGUAGGAGCUACUAUAGAGACCGGUUUCUUUUAACAUUGUCGAAACUGAAUCAGUAUGGUUAAUGGAUGAUGCUUCCCAGGAGCUUCUUUUCCGCGGAGCCUUGCAGCCGUUCUUUGGAAUGGACUGGAAGAGUGUUCUUGUCGUUGCUGCCAUUUUCGGGGUUCUGCACCUUGGAAAUGGCCGAAAGUACUCCUUCGCUGUCUGGUAAUCGCUCAAUUGGCUAUGCUCGAACUCUGAAUUUCUCGUCUUUAACAUCAGUCUUCUUACUCUCCAGGGCGACCUUUGUUGGUUGCAUCUAUGGUUACUCCGCAAUUGUAUCCUCGAGCAUCAUCGUGCCAAUGGCUUCCCACGCAUUAAACAACCUGGUUGGAGGGGUCUUGUGGCGCAACACCCAAUUCUCAAAGCUCUCAAAGUCAAAGUAGCCUACCUUAUGACUACAAUUUGUUAUGGUUAGCCAUCUUCUUCCUCAAUCUAAGUAGAAAGAUAUAAAGAAGGGUUUUUUUCAUGCUUGAUACAUAUAUUGUUUCGAGAUGUAAGUAGUGAUGAUAUAUGUGGAGGUUCUUAUGCCCCUUUUCGUCUUCUUCGGAAACCAAGAAACUACGAAUCUUAUGUCACAGAGGAUCAUGUGAUUCAUGUUUUCAAUGUGUUGGAAAUGCCUAAUGAAACAAACAGGAUGCAUCCUAAAGAUCGAUCCUUUCUGUAUUAGCUUCUGGUUCUGAGAUUCCCAAGUUUUUAGUUGUUUACACCUUAAUAGUACUGAAGGUAUCCCCCGUGUUUGACGGUCUUAUUGUCACUUGAUGACAAAGUUGCCUCAUGAUCAGUCUCUUUGUUCUUGUCCUCAUGUUAUGGAGAUUAGCCCAAUGACCAACUUUUUGUAGUUAGUAUCUCUACCAACUGGGUUUCUGCUGGAUAGGAAAAUUCUAAUUCUUGUCCGUAUAUAUCCAACAUUCAUGUAUAUCAUUGCAUAUUGAAACACAAGUUCUUAGUAAAAAACAACGACUCAGAGCUCCUUGUCUCCCGCUCACAGUAUGCUAGAGGUAAGCUCAUCUCCAUGUUCAUUUUUCGAUGUCGAACUUUCCUGAGUUUUGAUCGUGUUUCGUGUAAACAGAAGUUCGGAGGGAGGAGAAGGAAGGAGAGGGAAUGGCUGAGGCAAGAAAGGAAGAGGAAGAAGAGGAACAAGAAAAUGAAGAGCAAUAAGAAGAAUGGCAAAGGUAGCAACGAUGGAAGCACAUUACCGAGGUUCGGGGAAUGGGACGAGAACGAUCCCUCGUCAGCUGAAGGCUACAGCGCUGUGUUUGACUUGGUUAGGAAGGAGAAGAACAGUGGUGUUGGCAAUAUGUCGUUCAAGCUGUUCGAUUCAAUCAAUACCAGGAGGCGGCGAAGCAGGCUCCGUAAUUUCCUCAAAUCGUUGAAGGUAAUGUCUUAAAACUGAAAAAGUCAUCCUUGCCGAUUCCACAAUGAUCGUUUGGAGAACUCUGUGUUGAUUAAUGUUUCUUGCUACUGGGGUUUGCAGAGAUGGUGGAUUUGCUUGUGAAAGUAUUUGCAGAAGGAAGGAAGAAUUUGUUUGUUCAUCAUCAUGGGCUUGGGACUAAAAUGUUAAAAAGGAAAAACAUUAGGGGUUAAACUGUGACGAAAUUUUAUUGAUGCACUUCUAUUAAGUUAUCAUUAUUAUACCACCCUGCCACCUAGCCGUCGCUGCUAGGUACUUUUUUUGUUUUAACGACUAUUUAAAUUGCCGUUAUCAAUGCCGUUUGUUCAUCUAAUGUAGGUUAUAUAUUUAUUAUGAUUCUCCGGAAAUAAAUAAAUAAAUAACCGGAAUGUAAUAAUGACUAAUGAAUCAUCAAUUGUGAAUUUAUUUAUCCCGCUUGUGCGUUGCACCUCCUAAGUUAACUAUUAUAUAUUCUACGGGAUGAAUUUUUAUAAUCAAUAUGAAUCACGUUGAGAUUUUCGGUCCAAACAAAAUUGUGAAUUUAUUUGUACGAUUAAUCUCAAAUAGGUGGCCACUUUAAGUUCAUUGUAGGGAUCUUUCAUCGAUCUACGCAUAAAAAAUUUAAAGAUCGAAGUUCUAAAUCAACAACACUCUCAUACACGUAUACUAAGAUAUUGAUCAGUUGAAUUUAUUUACCGUAUCUCUCCCUCCAUACCAUACCUCUUUUCUUCCAAAAGAAAUAUUGGAUCAAACUCAAAAUCACUCGAUGUCCGGUGUUACACUCGUUGACAGCCUCAACUAACUCGAUUAAGAGUUAUGAUUGUCGAUUUCACUUCUUUGAAUUUCUUUGUUGUCACUUUUUUUGGUAUAAAACUAUUUAUUAUCUGCUCACUUUCAUAUUUUGAGUAAUUACUAACUAGUGGAAAUAAAUUUUGUGUCGGAUUAGCCACCCAAAAAGGUUAUCGAUAUUAACCUGGCAUCUUGUUAAUUAUUUUCUUACAAAAAAUAAAUCUCAUUUUUUUAAAUAUAUUUUCAGGUAGUUUAACUAAUCUAGAUUUUGAUUAUAGUUUUAUGGCAAUCUAGACACGAAAGUACUCCGUUAACUGUUUUCGAUAAUCACUUAUAUCUUACUAUCUUUUUUUUUAUUCGAGAUAAAAAACAACAAAAUAAAGAAAAGCAAACAUGACACAAAUGUCCAUUUAUAAAAUGUAAUUAGAAUUGAAACCCGAGAUCUCUCACACGCAAUACUCCACUUGAACAUACAAAUGCUGCAUAAUAAUAAUACAUCUUAGUAAAACACAAACGGCACACAUGAAACCUACCAACCAAACCUACAAAUUAAUCCAUGUACGUAGUCUUAAUUGAUUGUUCAGUGUAACUGCCAUCCAACAAAACAUUAACUCUUUUGAUCGGUGGACAUAAAAUGUUCAGUUUGGUUACUAAAUGCACCUAAUAAUAUAUUUGUAACUUGUUCAAUCAUUCAUUUUUCAUUCACGUCCGCUCAGAUUUUAAUUCCGCGAAUCUCCGAUCAUCCUCUCCUCCGACGGUUUUUCCGGCCAGACUAGCUUGUAGACCAUUUUCUCACUGUCUUAACUCUAAUUAAUACUAUUAAUCAUUUUUAUUAUCGAGAUAACUUAGGGUUUUCAAUGCAGUUUUUGAUUUGUUCCAUGUUUUGUAUUCGUCCUUUGAGAAAAAAUAGAACAUCUUUGACAAGCAGCCUUGGGUGUUGGAUCAAUCAAUCUUGCAACUAGCGGAAUUCGAAACAACUCUAAUGUCGCUGCAAAUGUAAGACACAAAUUCCUCAUGAAGCACCUACCGGGAUCGUGUUUUUAAUGAACCUCUCGACAGUAUAGGCGAUUAUGAUCACUCAGGCGUUUUUUAUUUCAUGUAAUAGGUAAAAAGAUUAAAAUAUUUUGAAUUAAAAAAUUACUUCAUGCAAUCUGUUUUUAUUAGAACAAUCUAUUUUUACUUCGUACAGUUCAUUUUUAUUAAUUACACGCUAUUUUUUUUAAUAUUCGUAAGAUAUAUUUAUUUAAUUUUGUUAUUUAUAAAUUUUGAAAAGAAAAAUAGAAAUAAAUUUUGAAAAUAAAUCCUUAUUCUUUUGACAAAAAAUCGGGGUUGGCGAUGGUUUUUUCGGGACGAGAGGAUGUUAUGGUUGAACAAAGAGUGAACGUGCUGCAGCUAGACGAGGAAGAACAGACGGCGACGUUCGAGGGUAUCCAGAAAUACUAAAAAAUCUAGCACCGGCAGGCCUGAACAGGUCCUGCCACGAGGAGUGAUUCGGCGGCAAUAACUCAGUUGAGGUAUUGGUGCCCCAAUUCGGGCUCCACCGGUCGUUUCUUGUUUUAUUAGUAUCGAUUUUGUUUUUCGUUUUGAACAAUUAUUUCUUACUUUCUGUUAUCGCAUAGAAGUUAGCGCCUGCAAUUUUAACCUUCGUUCAAGAUUUUUUAUUAUAGGGAUUAUUGAAGUACGCAUGUGGUAGUUCAUGCUACUUAUUUAUGGGUCCGGAUUUCAUUCGUUAAAAGUAAUAUUCCUCCAUAAUAAUAGUUUGACAUAUUGAAUAUUAUUUUGACCAAGAGUUUAAUAAUAUAAAUAGACUAGUUUCGAAAAAAUAAAUGCAUUCGACUGUUUUUAUAUUUUUCAUACAAGAAAAAAGAGAUUUUAUAUCAUUAAUGCUACCUUGCUUUCAUUUCACAUUUCCCAAUGUUUUUCUGUGACGUAUGAGUAGGAAGCCGUCAUUAAUUCAAUGUUAACUAAUAACUACUAACUGAUACCAACAUAAUUAAAGAAUCAUACGUACCAACAAAAAUAGCACAUAGCACAAAAUUUGUACUUGUUGAUGUGUUGUUUUGUAUUGGUGAUUAAAAGUUUUAUUAGUCCGUAAUCGGGUUCACUCGAUGAAAAUCACUCAAUUAUUAACGGAGAGUAGUUGAUUUAAGACACAACUCAAAAUGAGGUCAAAAUAAAAGUGUCCAUUUUCAAAAUGGCAUUAUGUUUUUAAGAUUCAAAUUAGGAACUUCCCAAUCUGAAUCUCAAAGCCAUCAAGUCAUCAGAUAAUAAAUUUAGAAUGACUCAAGGCACUAAAAUGAACUCUAUAUAUAAUUCAAAAGGAACUUAAGUGCAUAAAAAAGAUAAUCAACUUCUAUAUACAUAAAAGUUUAUGUAAUGUUAGAAAUUUAAAUUUGAAAUUUGCUAGGGAAUGGUCCGCAAAGUCAAGCAUUGGAUUCGUCUAGUGAGACGAAUCCAUCUUUCGAUUGAGAAUAUUUGUAGUGAAAGAAACUAAUUUUGGUUUAACACUCGAAUUCUUAACCAAUUUAAACUAGAGGGAGGAAAACAAAAUUUUGAGCUCCUAACUCAAAAUUUAAUGAGUAUUUUUUGUUGGAUCGGUUGAAUCAAACAUGAACCGAACCGGGUCCAUUUCGACAGGUAAAGAACAUUGGAAAAUAGGUAGUCUAUUACUAGGUUUGUUGUUCGAAUAUACGAAACCUAAAAUAAGAUUAAUAAGCAAUUGGUCCAAAGGGAGGGAAUUGGAGUGAAGACAUGCCGAGUAGGAUGUCUCGUGCACGAAAUGAUGAAAUCAAUUAGGUGAGCUAACUAUUACCUUGUGGAUCCACAAGGCUGUGAAUCUUUGUAUCAAACCUUUUAUAAACUUACUUAACAAGUUAUCAAUAAUAUCCGUCAAACAAGUUAUAAUCGAGUGAAUAUAGCACUUAACUAAAAAUCCUUUAAAACACUAUAUAUAUGUUACAUGUGGUGAAUUCUUGAGUAUACCUGCUAUAUCGAAAUUUUUGGUGUGUCCAAUUUUUUUUUGGUAACAUAAAUCCAUCACCACCGUCCAUUUUCAGUUUGCGAUCUCGACGGUUCACAAUUAUUCACAUAUAUAUAUAUAUAGAGAGCGGUUUGGUACCCUAGAAGUACCGGUACCCUCUAUACUAACAAUCUUAUAUUUUUAAAGUUUAAAAUUCAAAAAUUAAAUUCUAAAGUCCUUAUAGUAAAUCCUAAACAAUAAAGAAUGGUGCUAACACUCUAAAUACUAAAUCCUAACCUUCAAACACUACAUCAUAAGCCCAAACUCAAAAUCAUAUCAUAAACUCUAGCUUUUGACCAUAAAUCAAAAUUAAUAGAUCUUAAACUCUAUAUAUCAAACUCUAGCCCUCAGCACUAUACCCUAAUCCUAAACAGAGACCUUCAACCUCAAAAAUCAUAAUUUUAAACACAAAAUAUAGCAAAAUUUAACAUAUAGGGUACUGAUACCCUCGUAGUACCGAAGCGUUUUCCAUUAAAUAUAUAUAUGUGUGUGUGUGUGAAACUAGGACUGUAUAGUUACGUUAUUGUUGACAGAUCAGAAUUCAGUAUUCCUCCUAUUGAGAGGCUUAUGGUAACAUCAUUCAUCGCUUUCUCUUGUCAUUCAUCUUUCUAUCUUUCGACGGACUCUUAUUCGGUGUAAAAAAAGAUUAGGGUUUCUGAAGAAAAGCCAGUUAGGGUUUUUUCUUGAAGGAAAAAAAAGGUUGGAGUUAUUUGUUUCUUUUCCCCCGAGACAAAUCGAAGAUAGCAAUGGUGUAGCCAGGACGAGACGAUGAUGAAGAUGAAUGAGGAAAGGAUGCGUUGCAGCUGUACGAAGAAGAACCGACAGCGACCUUCAAAGGUAUCCAGGAACACCCAAAAAACCUGGCAACGAAAGGCCUCUCCGGGUCCUGCCACACAGACUAAAUUGCUAGCAACUACCCACUCGAGAUCUCGACCCUUUUGAGUGUUUGAUGUUUUGGGUGUCCCCAGUUCGGGCUCCAUCGAUCAUUUGUUGUUUCUUAUUUUUGGAUGUUUCCUGCUUUUUGAAUAAAUAUUUCUUUCUUACUUUUGCUUUUGGGUAGAGCUUAGAGUCUAGUUGUCCGCCUCCGGUCAAGGUUUUCUAUGUUGGAUCCUUUAGUCAAUUUGAAAUUAAGCGACCGGACAAUUCACUUUGCAACUUCACAAGCUUCGUCCGAAGUAUCGUAAACAUAGUCGGAUAAAAAUCUAUCGGUGUAAUUGAUUCUAUCACCCUUAUUCACCGAUGACUCUCCCUACACACAAAACGUACGCUACAUUUAUCAGUUGUGUACCCAUCUUCGUAUUCAUUCACUUAUUUCUUCAACAAAAUUAACGACCACUUACCGAAUUACUCAUGACGAGUUAAUGCAUCCAACGUACGUUAAAACCAUCCGACAAAUGUUAUUACCUGAAAAACAAUUAAAUGAGGUCAUUAAAAAAUUAAAAAAAGAAUUCAAACCGGCCCGACCGAAAUGUAGAAAAAUGAACCGUGAGAUAAUUUUUUGAGAAAAUAAAUUUGAACAAUGUCGCAUUUAUAAAGUUUAAAACGUCAUUUUAUUCAAAAGGUAGAGCGUCAAAUAACGAUCCAGCAAACACCAAAAAUACCUCGCAAGUGAUUGGCCCUCUUUAUGACCUACAUUUUCAAAGAUACAGUUACAUAACUAAUACAAGGUCUUCUUCCAUUAAUUAAUCUAACUCCGAGAUCAACGAUAAGUUAGUCGACUAUUCAGAAGAUGAACCUAUAAAAGUUUGAACUUGCAUAGGCAUUCUGUUUCAUACACUCUAUUUCUCUGACUGUGUCUCUGCCUGCCCACGUUCCGUUAUGGCCAGCUGAGCUCUGUCGACAUCUAGUAGUUUAAUGCGGUGGUUUUCAGCUCAGCUACUUCCCUAACUCCACCCAAUCCCUCCUUCUCUCUUCGUACUCUCCGCCUUCAGAUCUCCACUCUUAUAUCAAUCAAACCCAAAAUCCCCCAGAUUCCUCGGAUCCAGCAAAAAAAAUGGAGGCGGCUAACCAGCUCUACAACAUCCUCGACACCUUAAAGGUCCAGCCUUUCUACAUCCUAGCCCUCUUCACACUCGGAACCCUCACGACCCUCAAGUUCCUCUACUCCCUCCUCUACUGGGUCUACGUCAAUUUCUUGCGGCAGGGAAAGAAUCUGAAGAAGUACGGAUCAUGGGCGGUCGUCACCGGCGCCACCGACGGAAUCGGAAAAGGUUUCGCCUUUCAGCUCGCACGCAAGGGUAUUAACUUGGUCAUCGUGGGGCGGAACCCUAGCAAGCUUAAAGAAGUCUCCGACUCGAUCGGAGCGAAGUACUCUGUCGAAAUUAAGACGGUGGUCGUCGACUUUUCCGGCGACAUCGACGGCGGGGUGGAGAGGAUCAAGGAGACGAUUGGAGGGCUGGAAGUUGGAAUUCUGAUUAACAACGUCGGGGUUUCGUACCCUUACGCUAGGUUCUUCCACGAGGUUGAUGAGGAGCUGCUGGGGAAUCUGAUUAAGGUGAACGUUGAAGGGACGACCAAAGUUACUCAGGCGGUUCUGCCCGUGAUGUUGAAGAGGAAGAAGGGGGCUGUUGUGAAUAUUGGGUCUGGUGCUGCCAUUGUUAUCCCUUCUGAUCCGCUCUAUGCUGUUUAUGCUGCUACUAAAGCGUAAGCCUUUUGUUUCGAUUCAAGCUACUUCUUGUUUGAUUUAUCAUAUGGUGCAAGCGUGGUUGAUUUUGAGGAUUUGGGUUGUUUUUGUUUCAGGUACAUUGAUCAGUUCUCUAGGUGUUUAUAUGUUGAGUACAAGAAGAGUGGGAUUGAUGUUCAGUGUCAGGUAAAAAGCUCUAACCUUUGGUCAUGGUUCAUGUAUGGGAUCGAGAAUUAGAGUAUGUACAAGGAUAGGGAAAUGGUCGUGAAGCGUUUGCUAGAAGUUAGAGAAUGUUAGAUUAUCUUGUCUGCUACUUAUAUUUGGUGGACUCUGGCAACUCUAUUUGGGAAAGUCAGAAUUUCGUACUUGGAGGAGUAAGCUUAGUAAAAGGUUUUCUCUUUUGUCAAACUACCUGUUAGCUUCAAAUGUGGAGUAGUUUUAGUGAUUGCAGAAGUUAGAAUAGUUUGGUGUAAGAGUUUCGGAUGUCUGAUAUGUACGGAUACGUUCAUGUAAUGAUGUCUAGGUGUAUGUACAUGUGUUUGUACGUUUCAAAUUCCCGAUUUCAUUCGCACAUGAUCUGGCACCAGGCUGUAUCUGUGAUGAUUCGUGUGUUUUGAACUAGUACUGCUGUCUAGGCUUGUGCUUUCUGGUAUACGGAAAACUUCGCAUUCUCUGAUAGAGUUUCGAUCCGUUUGAUAGCUCUUAACAUUGUUUGCUAAAUGCAGGUUCCACUCUACGUGGCGACAAAGAUGGCCUCCAUAAAGCGAUCAUCCUUCUUCGUGCCAUCGAACGAGGGCUAUGCCGAGGCAGGACUGCGUUGGAUAGGUUACGAGCCUCGCUGCACCCCUUACUGGCCACAUUCUUUCCUCUGGGCUCUCAUCCACACCUUGCCGGAAUCAGCAGUCGAUGCAUGGAGGCUGAAGUUCUGUAUGGGGAUCCGUAAGCGAGGCCAGCGGAAGGAUGCAAUGAAGAAAGACGAGUGAAGAUCUUCAGUAUGGUCAUAACACGGGAAUCAAAAUAGAACCGGAUCUUUGCAUAAGAAAAAAACACAGAACUUUGUAGUUGGGAGCUGGUGGUUACAUUUUACUUAGUUGGAGACUGGUGUGUUUUCUUUGUUUCGUUCUUGGGGUGGGGAUUGGAACAUGGGAAUCUCCAAAAUCUGAGGAAUGAUUUAACAGUUAAUAAUAACAUGAUGAUUAGUUUAUGUUACAAAAAUGCUUGUUGCGUGUGAUGUUUCCUUAAACGUGGGAGGUGGCGUUGGUACACCUAACUGAGUACAGAUCGUGUGGUGAAUCUUUUUCUUUUGUUUUUGACGAAUCAGGUCACAAGUUUGGUGAAUCAAAAUCACAAGUUCUUUGCUUACAUACAUAGCUGUAAAUUUGGGGGAAAUAAAUGAUAUUCAAAAUCACAAGUUCCUUGCUUAGAUAUAGCUGUAAAUUCUGGAAAAGAACUUGUACUCUGGAAGUCUGAACUUCAAAUUUUAACAUUUUUUCUUUCCGGGGAAGCCGGAAAAGAUAAAUUUGCGGUGAGCGUGGAUCGAACACGCGACCUUCAGAUCUUCAGUCUGACGCUCUCCCAACUGAGCUAUCCCCGCUUAAUGGGUCGUACCAUACAUUUAUAAAGUUUUGUCAGAAUAGUGGAAUGUGAGAUGAACAAACUAUGAAUCAAAGGCGUGGCGUGAGAUGAAACGGACUAAUUAUCUUCCUACUAUGUUGUUUGAUAAUGCUCUAACCACUAAUCAUUUCUUUAUUUUAUUUUCUUUUCUCCUUAUUUAUGUCUUUUUAUCUUUUUGUGCAUGAUUCACUCUAAUCACCUUUUCCCGCCUGUUAAACAUAUAACUCAUGCCUCAUUAUGCAUAGCUAGUGCUUUGAAACCCAAACCAAACCGAAAAACCCGCAUUUUGAUCACCAAUUCGGUUGGAAUCGACAAAACCGAACACCACGCCUUUGACUUGGUUGCGAGCUAGCCAAUCCUAGUUUCUACCCUAAUCGAUCACUGAUUUAGCAUUUUCUAUAGACUAGUCAGUUAAUAUAAUUUACUUAAUACUUAUGUACAGCUAUACUUGUUGCUCAAGAUAGCUUCUCACAUGAAAACAAACACAAAGAAUACUAGGGUGAUGAAGGCAUUACUAAUUAAAUGCAUGCAUGAGCAACCAGAAAGCAUAAUUAAUUAAUCAACUAAUCCUUCACCAGUACUGGUGUAAAUAUAAAUGCAGAGAUUCCAAAUAUUGGAUCGUAGCUGGCACACAUAUAUCGUACGACGUUACAACCAACAACCAACCAGCUAGCAGCUGCAUUUCUUCAUAAAUAAUGUCACCAACUUUGUCUCUCUAUACUUUUGGUACCACAUAUGCAUACAUAUGUUCAUUUUUAUCUUGCAUGUAUAUAUAUAUAUAUUGGAUAAAGAUCUUGCAUGAAUAUUUACGACGCAUCAGUUGAUGGUUACAUUUUUUUUCUAACGUAUUUGAAAGUAUUCAAAAGGUACUGAAAUCAUGGUUGAAUUACUGAGAUAUAUUUAUUACGAUUCGACGUUAGAAAUAGUACUAAUCCUGUUGUUUACGAUCCAUAGUUGAAAACUUAGGCUCGAGACUAAGGAAAAAUCUCCUUGACCCACUGCUAGAAAUGCAAAGUUCAACUACAACAACAUAAUACCAUACUCUACCUCGAAUUCCAUGUGAUAUGAUAUUUGAUUCAAUCUCGAAACCUCUCAUAAUUAGUAGCCUCACAAUAGGAUAUUAUAACGGUAAACACAAACAAAUAUUAAUGACGUAAUGCAGCGGAAAAUUAGCGGUAAAAAUAAAAUAAAAUAACUCAAAGACACUCGCAUUCUCUAACGUAUAUCAAUUAUCAACAACUAACCAACGAAAUCGUAACUAAACCAAAAACCAACAAAAUCACCGUAACAAAAUUACAAUUCUAUCCAUAAGCAAAAUAAACAAAAAGAAUUCUCAUCGUAAUCGUGACGCUUUAACGUCCGUUAAUUCACCCACCGCCGCCGGCGUCACCUUCUUCUUUCUAAACACAAUCUCCGUAUCCAAUCCGAACCCGUCAACUUUCCGCCGAUAAACAACCUCCGACUCCUUAAACAUCUCCACUACCGCCUCCAAUCUCAGCACAUCAUUCGCCGAGUACUUAUCCGACCGCCGCGACACCGCCACGUGCAGAACACAUACCCCACCUGGCUUCAGCGUCCGCUCGAUCUCCCCGACGAACUUCUCCGGAUAAAGCGCGUGAUCGAACACGUUGGAGAAUUCAAAGUCAAACGUCUCAUCAUCAAACGGCUGCGAAUGAAAGUCGCCCUUGACGACCAACGGCGGAGAUGGGACGAGGUCGAUCCCGAUCGAGUCGGACACUCCGACCCGCUUCAGGGCCUCCACCUCCUGCCCGACCCGAGCCCCGACGCAGAGGGCCUUGGAGUUGUUGGAGAGGAGGUUUUCAGAUUUGAGGCGGGCGAAGAACUUGGAGAAGACGUUGAUUUUGCGGUCCCAGUCGCGGGUCUUCCAUACCCGGCGGAGUUUCGGGUUGAGGGUCUUGUUGAGCUGGCGGUUGAUGUAGGAUUCGUAGGUGGUGUAGCCGGGUCGGAUCCGGAUACCGGGAGUUGACGGUUGGGGUUGUUGGUGGGGGCGGUGGUUGAGGGGGAAGAGGAAGAGGAGGAGAGGAAGGGAGAGGAAUAAGGUGAGGAGGAAGUAUUUGAGGAUCGGCGGUGGCGGGUUUUGCUUCAUCGUCAUUGAUCGAUUGAUGAUCUUCCGUUAUUUUGCAUGUGUGGAUUGAAUUGAUGAAAUUCCUUUUGUUGAUUCUAUUUAUUUAUUUAUUUUGUGGAUGAUCAGAGAAUGUGUGUUGGGGAAUUUUGAGGUGGGAAGGGAGUUGGGUUGUGUGAUACGGUUCAAGGGUUUAUUAUCGAUGUUGUAUUAUGGGUGGGAGUUGGGUUGGCAUCGAAUUUGGUCUGUUGAUCGAAUCGAUUUUGGAUAGGGUUUAAAUGGUUUUGGUUGUAAAGGGUUUUUCUUCGGUUUGAUUUUUUGUUCAGAUGAGAAAAAUUGUUGGUCUUAAUUGUAGGGUGAGAAUAGGAACCAAAUCUCGACUGUUAUUAGUAUGCAUUAUACAAAAGGCAGUCAUGAAUUUAUGAUCAUAACUACAGCUAUCCGUGUUUGCGAUUAUAAACGUGAUUGGUCAAUCAUAACUCUACUAUAACGAACUUUAGAACAAUGAUGCUCGUAGAUUUAAAAGAGUGACAAGCCGACAGACUAGAAGACGUAAUCCUUUUUUACUAUAACCAUACAUACAAAUAAUUUACCGUAACAUUGAUAUUUAACUCCAUAGUCAGGUUUAAUGCAGCGGCCCCACCCCACUGAUUUGCAAGAAGAAGUCAAUUACCGGUUCGUCUCGGUCGACUUUCAGCUUUUGUAAGCUGUAACGUGAUUAGGAGGAAUAUGGACAAUAGAGAGAAUUUGGUACGUGGUGGGGAGGGGAAGGGGAGAGCCAAUGAGGGGAAGACACGUGGGGAGGAAGUGGACAUGCAGAGGUCCAAUUGUGCUGUGUGGGAAUUUUGUUGGUAUCUAAAGAUUGUGGGACGGUGGGUGACCGAUGUUUACAAGGAUAACAAUAUGCUUCUUGGAUGAGUAGUGCAUCCAUGAGGUCAAAACAUCGACAAGUCCAAACAUGGGCGGAUAUUCACCGGUAGCUGUUUUGUUGGUGUUGUUGUAUGUUCCGAUUAUAGAGUUUUUAUUAGUCGAGAUAAAUUGAAAUCCCAGAUGCGUGAGUUAAAUAUCGGAGAAUGCAAAGUGGGAUAAUGAAAGUUAGAAAGUGAUGAUCAUCUAUCAACCCUUACCAUACAUGAAUUCAGUAAUGGGUGUUCUAGCCUUCAUUCUUAUAGUUUUCUUAAAAAAACCUAACCACAUUUCAGUCGGCAUGGACAAUGAUUGUGUCAUACCACAAUUAGAAUAAAAAAUCACUCUAUGUCUUACUGCCAAAUUCGAAUAUAAAGAACAACAAAUUCAUGAAUGGGUUAAUAGAAGGAGAAAGCAAGUUACAUGUUGAUUAUCCUCGUUUAUUAUUUAUUUUGAAAGGUGUAAAGCUAGAAAAAAAAGCUUGUGAGUGGGGCAAAUUUCAAAGGAAUAAAGAACCCUACCUCUUGAGUUAAAGAGGAGAAGUUGAUAAGCUUGGAAGUGAAGAAAUAACAACUAGUGGACUAUAUCAUUUAUAAAAUAAUAAUAAUAUAUUAGUGGACUAAAUGAAUAUAAAAGAAUAACCAUCCUGCCAUCUCAAGUUGAAGUUAAUUUAUGAGAGAAAAACCGUUCUGCCACAAAAUGACAAAUUUUUUAUGAGUCGACGAUUUUUUAUUUCGACGUGACAAAGUGAACAACCAACAAUAUCCAUAAACAUUUGUAACCGUUUGCACAAUUUCAUGAUUUCUUAUUGUGCAGUUAUUCAAAAAUCAUGGAAAUGAAAAUGACUGCUGCAAUCAUUCAAUUUGAUCAACUGUCUCAAAGUUUCUCAAGAACGAUUUGCAGGCCAUAACGAGGACAGCUCGUCAAAACCUGAGCCGGGGAAUGUACAUACUUAUCCGAGAGCCUAAGCCUGUAACGCUGCAGGAUCAUGGCAACUGCAAUCUUCAUUUGUGUCAUUGCAAAGUUCAUACCAACACAAGCCCGUGGCCCCAAACCGAAAGGCAUGAACGUCGCCGAUGCCUUAGCUACUGCCCCUUCCGCAAAUCUAUCUGGUCUGAAUAGCUGAGCGUCUUCCCCCCAUACCUCAGUCCUGUGGUGAAGCGCUAGAACCGGAAUGUAAACUUCGGUCCCUUUCGGAAGUAGUAGUUUCCCUGGACCGAGUCGUACUUGAUCUCGCUCGACUCUCCUUGAAACGUGGAAGAACGGUGGGUAUAGCCUCAAAGAUUCGUUGAUGAUCAUGGUCAGCUGUGGAAAAAAAUACACGCGGCAUGAGUUCUACUUCUGUAAUUAACAACCACACUCAAACGGCUAAAAGGAGCUAAAGUUUGCAUAGUUUCAUUAAGUCAUAUGCAGUCAUGUGAAGACUCUAACAUCACGUCAAGAACCAUUGCAUCCCAAUAACUGAGGAGGGUCAAAACUGUUUCAGACAUGUUGACUUACGAUGGAUAGUCUAGAGAUGCUAUCAGGAGUUGGGGAUGUGUCAUUUCCGAAUAGUUGAACUACCUGAUCCCUGGCUUUCUCUUGCCACUCCGGGUGAACCGCUAGCAGGAGUACUGUCCAGGUCAGCGAGCUCGUGGCGGUUUCGUGGCCAGCCAAGUAGAAUGUCUUGCAUUCGUCAACCAGAUCAUCCACUGUGAUUCUCUUCUUCAUGUCAGGAUCGGUGUAGGCCUUGAGAAGCAGAGCAAGGAAAUCAGUUGCAGAAGCAGCACUGCUGUUGUUAUUCUCUUUCUCUCUUUUGGCCACCAUGUUGAUUAUGAUGGCUUUGAUCGCUUGCCGGAGAACAGCUGAUUCAUGCUCGUCCCCUUUCCUGAAAAUGAUUCUGCUUCCAAGGCACAAAAAUAAAAAAUUAAAACAGAAGAUUCAGGUUUGGUAUAUAUUCGGGAUGAAAUAAACCUCAGGAUAGCAAAGAUAUUUCCUGACAGGUGUAAUUAACCUGAGGAUGGUCGAGAUUCCUGGAAUCCUGACACCGUACUCGCUCCGUGAGAAGAUCGAAACCAUCUCCGUCAGCAGCUCGAAAACCUUUUGUCCUUCCAAGUAGCUGCUCCCAAAAGCAGUCCUGGAUAUAAUCUCUGAUGUCAGGACUCUAAGCUCCUGAAAUGCAUCAAUCUCAUGAUUUAUGUUUUUCCAUCUUUCGAGCAUCAUCUCGACGCUCGCAAUCAUGGCCGGAACCAUGCUCUGAAAAAGAGGGGAAAAGUAAACAACUUCAGUUUCGAAAACAUUCCUGAGAAAACCUACGAGUGCGCUCGUUCUUCCCCCUGCACUAGACUGUUAAUGAAUAAUAUAAAUUUAAUCUUGUACCUUUUCCCAACAACUCCGAGACAAUUAUGUUUUGGUAAAGAAAACUGUUGUUAAACAGACAAAGUCUUACCUUCAAGCUUUCUCCAUGGAAGGCAUGGUUGGCGAGCCUGCGCACCUUCACCCAUUUCUCGCCUCUAGACACGACGAGUCCAUCUCCUAUCAAGUCUUUCAAGAGAACUAGAAAUGCAUGCUUCUCAUAAGAUCCAUCUUUGCUGGUGAGCACUUCUUUGAUUAGCUCUGGUUCAGUGACUACAAGUUGUGGCCUGCUGCCAUACCACUGCAAAUAGUUCUUCCCUGAUAAUAACACACUUGCUCAACAAACGAAACGAACUGGUUCUUAACAUGGUAUGAAAAAAGAGAAUCAUUGUUAGAAUAAUGGUUUAAUUAUUACUUACCAUAGAGCUCCGUCCAAGAGUAGAUGUGAAGCUGGAGUCUUGGAAAUAUAUGGUUGGACAACUCCACCAUGGGGGUCUGUGUAGCUUGAAUUCUCAUUUGUGCUAUCUCUCUAGUGUUGCCAUGGAAGAAUCUGUAAGGAGGGCCUUUGAUCCCUUGCGAUCUCAUCUGGGAUUGGACUCGAAUCGGUGUCCACCAUGUUCUGUUCAGGAACCUGGUGAUGAUCAACACCAAGUAUGAACAGAGGCAGGAAGAAAGAAAGAUCAACAGAGUUCCCAGUUGAAUCAUUUCUCUGUUUGGUUUGUUUGUCAAAUAAUUGACAACAAUAAUUUACUUCAGUUGUAACUGGUUUUCCUUGAAUUUUUCUCUUCAUAAUGGCACGGUAUAUAUGUAUAUACAAUAUGCUAAGAGUUUGCUUGCCUUGUUGCAGGAAUAUUAUAAGCUUUUUUAGUGCUUGAUGGAUAACCAAUGCCAUGAUUUGCAGGUUUUAAAUAAAAAAUAUGAACAUGCAUGGUUUCCAUUCACUCAAACCUCGGCCUGCACAACCAAGGAAGAGACAACACAUGAACUAACAAGGCAGGCAGGCAGCACCAAUCUGGCUAAACCGGCCAUGCAAACUUACCAUCAAAAGGGAAAAAACAAACCGUACCGACCGCCAAGAUCCUGCCAAACUAAAAUCAAUAUAUAUAUAAAAACAAAACCGGCGGCCUGGAAGAUGCGCAUCCAGUUCAUAUCUUUCCAUGCCACAAUAAACUCACCAACGGAGGACUGAUUCGGGCCAUGGAUGGAAAGUUUUGAACUAAUCCUAACCCAAAUAGAUGAAGAGAACUUCAUACCGGAGAGACAAAUGGUCCACCGAUUCAAGAUCUUUACAACAUGGCACACCGAUUGGCCAACCAUAACCCUCACAUUUGAAAGAUCAAGAAUCCCUACAUCCCCAAAACAAUGGAGGUAUUACGUUGAUGGAAGACACUCGUCAAAAAAUCUAAACCCGAGAAUAUAUGGAGAAUCAGAUUUUUGUGUUUCGAUGCAAACAAACAAACAUACACUAUAGGGAGAGCGUACUGUAGCAAGAAGGCAAGCAGUUAGAAAAUGUUCUUUCAUCUUAGCUCUAUUCUGGAUGAAUUAUAGAUCAAUUCAAAACUUCCACUUAGAAAAUUUCGAAUAGGUGAUCCUCCUAUUCAAAUACAUUACUUAAAAUCACUCAUAACCGCAGCCCAGAGUGGCCUAAAACACCAUUCAGCUUACCCAUUUAUUCCAACAUUUAGCAGGGCACAUAUGAUGCUACAAUGAUCAUUUGAUCAAUUGUCUCAAAGUUUGUCAAGAACGAUUUGCAGGCCAUAGCGAGGACAGCUAGUCAAAACCUGAGCCGGGAAAUGUACAUACUUAUCCGAGAGCCUAAGCCUGUAACGCUGCAGGAUCAUGGCAACUGCAAUCUUCAUCUGUGUGAUUGCAAAGUUCAUGCCAACACAAGUCCGCGGCCCCAACCCGAAAGGCAUAAACGUUGCCGAUGCCUUAGCUACUGCCCCUUCUGCAAACCUCUCCGGUCUGAAAAGCUGAGCGUCUUCCCCCCAUGCCUCACUCCUGUGGUGAACUGCGAGAAACGGGAUGUGAACUUCUGUCCCUUUCGGAAGUAGUAGCUUCCCUGGCCCCAAUCGUACUUGAUCUCGCUCGACUCUCCUCGAUACGUGGAAGAAUGGUGGGUAUAGCCUCAAAGAUUCGUUGAUGAUCAUAUUCAGCUGAGAAAAAAGAAUACACAGGGCGUAAGGGGGUUCAUAUUGACUUUUAUAUCAUUAGUCAGAGAGUUGACUUACAAUGGACAGUCUAGAGAUGCCAUCAGGAGUUGGGGAUGAAUCGUUGCCGAACAGUUGAACCACCUGAUCCCUGGCUUUCUCUUGCCACUCUGUAUGAACAGCUAGCAGAAGUACUGUCCAGGUCAGCGAGCUUGAUGUCGUUUCGUGGCCCGCCACGUAGAAUGUCUUGCAUUCGUCAACCAGGUCAUCCAUUGUGAUCCUGUUCUUUAUGUCCGGAUCGGUGUAGGACUUGACAAGCAUUCCAAGGAAAUCACUUGCAGAACUAGUACUGUUAUUGUCUUCUCUUCUUUUGUUCACCAUUUUCAUGAUGAUGUGUUUGAUCUCUUUCUGGAUAACAGCCGAUUCAUGCUCAUCUCCUGUUCUGAAAAUGAUUCUGCAUCCAAAAACAGAAAAAUUCAGGUUUGGUAUUGGGAUGAAAUGAACCUCAAGAUGGCCGAGAGAGAUUUUCUUGAGAGGGGUAAUUAACCUGAGGAUGGUGGAGAGUCCUGGAAUCCUGACUCUAUACUGGUUUCGCGAGAUGAUCGAAACCAUGUUGGUCAGCAACUCGAAAACCUUCUCUCCUUCCAAAUAGCUGCUUCCAAAAGCUGUCCUGGAUAUCAUCUCUGAUGUCAGGAUUCUGAACUCCUGAAAUGCAUCAAUCUCAUCAUUAAUGUUCUUCAACCUUUCGAGCAUCAUCUCGACGCUCGCAACCAUGGCCGGAACCAUUCCCUGCAGAAGCAGAAGAAAAUCAAGGAAUUUUAAAAAAGCUUCGGCUCCUGGCCCAAACUGCCGUUAGACAUCGUAGCAUUGGAGCCACUGUUAGGAUGUUGAAAAACUUCCGUUACACUGUCUAUUUCUUGUAGUGCACACUGCACUGGACUACACUGUUAAUGAAUAAUAUAAAAUUAACUUUGGACUAUCUUUCAACAACUCAGAAUUAUUGAGACACAAUUGAUUACUGUCUCUGUGUAAAACUGUCAAAGACUUACCUUCAAGCUUUCUCCAUGGAAGGCAUGGUUCGCGAGCCUGCGCAUCUUUACCCAUUUCUCGCCUCUGGACACGACGAGUCCAUCGCCUAGCAAGUCUUUCAUGAAAUCCUGAAAUGCAUGCUUCUCGUAAGCUCCAUCUCUGGUGGUGAGCACUUCUUUGAUUAGCUCUGGUUCAGUGACUACAAGUUGUGGCCUGCUGCCAUACCACUGCAAAUAGUUCUUCCCUGAUCACAACAACACACUAAUUACUCAACAGGACGAGCAAACUGAUUUUUGACAUGGUAUAAGAGAUCUACGUUUAAUUGCUUACCAUAAAUCUGGGUCCAAGAGUAAAUGUGAGGCUGGAGUCUCGGGAAGAUAUGAUGGGACAAAUCCACCAUGGGGGUCUCUGUAGCUUGAAUUCUCAUCUGUGCUAUCUCCCUGGUGUUGCCAUGGAAGAAUCUGUAAGGAGGGCCUUUGAUCCCUUGCGAUCUCAUCUGGGAUGGGACCCGAAUCGGUGUCCACCAUGUUCUGUUCAGAAACCUGAUGAUGAUCAACACCAGGUAUGAACACAGGCAGGAUGAAAGGAAGAUCAACAGAGUUCCCAGCUGAUUCAUGUUUCUCUCUGUUUGGUUGUUGUCAAUAAUUGAGAGCAAAGCAGUUACUUUUUAUAUUUGGUUUGCCUUUCAUUUUCCUCAUAAUUAAUGACAGUACUCUAUAAUUUGCUAAUGUUCUUGCCUUUUUGCAGGGAAUUAAGUUAUUAAUUAGUGCUUUAAUAUGGAUGAUGACAUGAUCAUUAAUUGUUGAACACUAAGUACUGUAUACAUGAUUUGCAGGUUGCCCGCCUCCUUGUGCUGCUGCUAGAACAGUCAACAGUCAACUCGUACCCGGAGUGGGCCUCUCGUGGGCUGUAGCUGGGUGGCCUGUGUCAAUUGGGCCGGAUCAAGCACAACAUUAUUGAAACCAGUGGCAAAAAUGCCAUCACAAGAGAAAUGAAAGGGAAAAAACUAUAACAUUAAUGUCAAUACAUAAGUUUUGCUGAAUUUGAAUUCAGUAUUUCCAAGUACCGACACAAAACGCAAUUAUAAUAGUGAUUUGAUCAAUUCUCUCAAAGUUUCUCAAGAACGAUUUGCAGGCCAUAGUUUGGACAGCUAGUUAAAACCGGAGCCGGCGAAUGCACAUACUUGUCCGUGAGCGUAAGCCUGUAACGUUGCAGGAUCAUGGAAACUGCAAUCUUCAUUUGUGUCAUUGCAAAGUUCAUACCAACACAAGCCCAUGGCCCCACACCGAAAGGCAUGAACGUCGCGGAUGCCUUAGCUACUGCCCCUUCCGCAAAUCUAUCUGGUCUGAAUAGCUGAGCGUCUUCCCCCCCACACAUCAGUCCUGUGGUGAAGCGCUAGAACCGGAAUGCAAACUUCGGUCCCUUUCGGAAGUAGUAGCUUCCCUGGACCGAGUCGUACUUGAUCUCGCUCGACUCUCCUCGCUACAUGCAAGAACGGUGGGUAUAGCCUCAUGUUGAUGAUCAUAGUCAGCUGUGGAAAAAAAAAUACAACACAAGGCGUAAGAGGUUUCAGAUUGACUUUUAUAUGUAAGAGGUUUCAGAUUGACUUUUAUAUAUUAUUAAUCGAAGAGUUGACUUACAAUAGACAGUCUGGGGAAGCCAUCAGGAGUUGUUGGGUAAGUAUCGUUUCCGAACAGUUGAACCACCUGAUCACUGGUUUUCUCUUGCCACUAUGUGUUAACCGCUAGCAAGUAGUGUCCAGGUCAGCGAGUUCAUGGCGGUUUCGUGGCCUGCCAAGUAGAAUCUCUUGCAUUCGUCAACCAGAUCAUCCACUGUGAUUCUCUUCUUCAUGUCAGGAUCGGUGUAGGCCUUGAGAAGCAAUGCAAGGAAAUCAGUUGCACAACUACUGUUGUUAUUCUCUUUCUCUCUUUUGGCCACCAUGUUCUUUAUGAUGGCUGUGAUCUCUUGAUUGAGAAUAUCUGAUUCAUGCCCAUCCCCUCUUCUGAAAAUAAUUCUGCAUCCAAGGACAAAAAUAAAGUAAAAUAAAAAAACUGUUUAAAAUUCAGGUUCUGCUAUUGGGACGAAAUGAAUGUCAGGAUGGAGGCCGGAGAGAUUUCCUGACAGGUGUAAUUAACCUGAGGAUGGUCGAGAUUCCUGGAAUCCUGACACUGUACUCGCUCCUCGAGAAGAUUGAAACCAUCUUAGUCAGCCACUCGAAAACCUUUUGUCCUUCCAAGUAGCUGCUCCGAAAAGCAGUCCUGGAUAUGGUUUCGGCUGUCAGGAUUCUCAACUCCUGAAAUGCAUCAAUCUCUAUUCUCCGGUCUCCAUCAUUCAUCUUCUUCCACCUCUCCAGCAUCAUCUCCACGCUCGAGAUCAUGGCCGGAACCAUACCCUGAAAGAAGAGGGAAGAGAGAAAAAAACAAAUCGAAAACUCGUACUCCAAGAAAUGUUCUGAAUGCUCGAAUCAUUAAGACCCAAUUACUUUCUUUCUGGUAACAAUAACGGUUACUUUGAUGUUAGACUGUCAGUCAAAGUCUUACCUUCAAGCUUUCUCCGUGGAAGGCAUGGUUGGCGAGCCUGCGCAUCUUGGUCCACUUCUCGCCUCUAGGCACGACGAGUCCAUCCCCUAGCAUGUUUUUGAAGAGAAGUUGAAAUGCAUGCUUCUCGUAAGCUCCAUCUCUGGUGGUGAGCACUUCUUUGAUUAGCUCUGGUUCAGUGACUACAAGUUGUGGCCUGCUGCCAUACCACUGCAAAUAGUUCUUCCCUGAUCACAACAACACACUAAUUACUCAACAGGACGAGCAAACUGGUUCUUGACAUGGACGAGCAAACUGGUACACAGCAUGACGAGUAAUAUUUAGGAGCCGUUUUUUUUAAUAAAAAGUUAGCUUCACAACACUAUAAAACUUUCAAAGCAUAUUCAAUCAUACUAUCCAUUACUGUCAUAAACGAGGCUAAGUUCAUUCAAAAUAUUAAAACCCAAUAAGUAUAGCUCAACUAAAGCAAUAUGUAGUUUAAAUAUUUAAAAGUACAUCGAGCUUUUCAAGUAAAUUAUAUAUUGAUAUGUGCACAACUAUUAAUGGUUACAUUGAAAUAAAAAAUUUGGUUAGAAUGUUGUAUUUGCCGAACAACAUGUCAAAUGUUUGAAGUGAUAUCGAGUUUUUUUUUAAUUUUGUUCAUGUCUCUUAUGAUCAUAAGAACUAUAUGUUUUAUGUGCUAUAAAAACACAUAAUAUUUAAGUACAUAAUUUCACUAUUGUCCUUUGGUUUGAAUUACUCGGGUACUUAUCGAUUAUUUAUGCUUUAGUUGAUUUAUUUAGGCUGUUAAUAGUGAAGUAAGAAAAGGAUUCAAAUCGUCCAAUGGACCGUGAUUUGAUUUAUUCUAAUUUGUCCACAACGAAAAUCUAUCUAGCUGAAGAUGGGAUGAACUGAUUAGGAUUGUAUUUUUGUACUUACUAUUUUUCUGGUAUUUUUGAGCAACAUGACAUCUCCCCCGAUUUGCAGGAAGAUAAAUUUAUUAAUUAGUGCUUAAUGGAUGAUAACAUGACCAUUGUUGAACACUAAUUAAUUACUGUAGUCUGUAGAUAUAUUUUGCAGGUUGAAUGGUAAGAAUUGUAACUGGAUCGAACCAAAUCGGUUUCAAACUAGACUCGGUUCAUAACAUAUUUGACCCCAACACUCUCCUCUACCUCAUAUUCAUCUUCUUUGUUUUCUUUCACUUGUUUGUUAGAAUCGAAGGAUGGCAGCUAGUAAGUGUAAAAGAGUGUGGUAGAGUUAGUUAUUAUUGUUGUAACUAACUUUGACUUCAUUGCAUUCCUUUCCUUUUGUACAUAUAUAGUUGCAGAGCUGUACAAUGAAACUAAGAAAUACAAUAACAGAAUUCUACAUUUCUCUCUGUCUACACACUCUCAACUCUCUGAAUUCACAUGGUAUCAGAGCGUGUUUAGCUCAAUCCUUUCAUUCUGAUGACCAACUCCGGCGACUCCUCGCCGCCUCCACAGUCCACCGUCAAUCGCUCUCUCAUCACAUCCAAUCCACUCUCUGCUCAUUACUCCNNNNNNNNNNNNNNNNNNNNNNNNNNNNNNNNNNNNNNNNNNNNNNNNNNNNNNNNNNNNNNNNNNNNNNNNNNNNNNNNNNNNNNNNNNNNNGCUUACAACAAUGCUGCUCAAGCUUGGCAAGAUCUCAAGCUUCGAUUCAGCUAGGGAGAUGCGAUUCGAAUCGCCGAUUUGCAAGCCAGGAUUGCUUCCUGUGAUCAAGGUGAUGCUUCUGUGACUUAGUACUUCACUAACCUCAAGGUUUUAUGGGAGGAAUAUCUCCAGUAUAGGCCGAUCCCCAACUGUGAAUGUGCUUCCGCCUAUGCUAGAAUAAGUGUGUGUGUUGUGGUUAGACGCAUGAUCACUUACCAGGAUCAGGACUAUGUCAUUAGAUUCAUUAGAGGACUUAAUAGCUCUUUUGAUGUUGUUAGAUCACAGCUUCUGUUGAUGGAUCCUAUACCAGAUAUCAACACAGCCUUCAAGUGUGCUGUUCAAUUGGAAAGACAGAUGCGAGGAUCUGGAGCUCCUCGAUCUGUUGAGUCAGUAGCAUUGGCUGCUAUACAUUCCAAAUAUCAUGGAGAAAAACUAUUUUGCAAAUAUUGCAAGAAAGAAAACCAUAUGAUUGAAGAUUGUCUGAAGUUGAAAAACAAACGAGCAAGAGAGGCAAGUGGACAGUUUGGAGGUAAUGUGAGUGGUGGAUCAAGUGGAAACUUUGCUGGAGCUGUGACUACUGCUGGGAGUCAGUCGAGUGACAACCACACAGGACUGGAUCAAAGGUCCUCUCUACCAGAUCAGCAUUCCAUGACAGCUGAUAUGUCGCUAUCAGCUCAGGACAUUGCACGUCUCAAGCAGUUGCUCCAACAGUCAAAUCUGCUUCAUUCACCUGCAGAACCCUCCGUUAACACCAUAGCCUCACCCAGCACACUCAAUAACGGUAAUAACCUCAUCCCUAGUCCUUCUGCAUCUAGUUCCCUACAUGAGUCCCCUGUGUGGAUUGUUGACACUGGUGCCAGUGACCAUGUUGCCUGUUCCAUUUCUUCUUUUGGUAAAAUCGAACCCCUAUCGAACGUCCAUGUUACUCUACCUAAUGGCUCUAGGGUCUUAGCUACACAUCGUGGUUCUGUUGAUCUUCCUUGUGGCAUCAAGCUGCUUAAUGUGUUGCACAUACCUCAGUUUAGUUUCAAUCUAAUUUCUGUCAGUCGUCUCACUCAUGAUUCAUCCAUUUCCCUGUCUUUCUUUCACAACCAGUGCCACAUUCAGGACCUUGUCUCACGGAGGAGGAUUGGUUCCUUCCCAGUCAUUAGAGGUUUAUAUCUUCUUCCUAGUAAUCUUUCAGUUCAAACCUACAUGUCCAACACAUCUGUCCUUUCAUCCGUUGUUGCAGCCUCUCUCAAUCUCCAGCCUCAAAACAUUGAUGUUUGGCAUUGUCGCCUUGGUCACCCUUCUUUGCCUCGUAUACAACUUGUUCAUCACGUUGACGCCAAUGUCACCCUUCCUACUCAGUCCCAUUGCAGCACCUGUCAUCUAGCAAAACAAAAGGCAUUGCCUUAUUCUCGUAGUUUGUCUAGAGCCACUAAGGCAUUUGAACUUGUUCAUAUGGACAUAUGGGGUCCUUUAAGUACAAUUUCACACAAUGGAUAUUCAUAUUUCCUCACCAUUGUUGACGAUUACUCCCGAUGUGUUUGGACCUAUUUGAUGCACAAUAAAGGGGAAACUCGUGCCUUAGUUGUUAGCUUUUGUGAACUUGUCCAGAAUCAAUUCCAAUCAAAUGUCCAAACCAUUCGUUCAGACCAAGGGUCUGAAUUCUGCAUGACAUCUUUCUUUGCUUCCCGUGGAAUCAUGCAUCAAACCAGUUGUGUAGGUCAAGCUCAGCAAAAUGGUCGUGUUGAGCGUAAACACCAACAUCUUUUAGCUGUUGCUCGCUCCCUUAGGUUCCAGAGUGGUUUGUCUCUCAGGUAUUGGGGGGAAUGUAUACUUCAUGCAUCAUACAUCAUUAAUCGCAUUCCUACACCCCUUCUAUCAAACAAAUCUCCCUUUGAAGUACUAUAUGACUCUCCACCAUCUUACAGCCAUCUUCGUGUCUUUGGAUGUUUAGCAUAUGCUAGUACCCUACCCCAUGGUCGAACUAAGUUCAGUCCCCGUUCUGUUCCCAGUGUCUUCAUUGGCUUCCAGAAUGGAGUCAAGGGGUAUAAGCUCCUUGAGAUUCCAACUGGUCGCAUCUUUCUCUCACGAAAUGUCAUGUUCCAUGAAACCAUCCUCCCUUACAACACUACACCUCUCAGUCAUAACCCCAUAUCAGAAAAUACCUUAGAUUCACUCUCUCCAACUACAAACACACCCCUCAACACUGAUCUGGAACUUCCUUCUUCACCUUCACCUUUAUCCCCACCUGAUCAGCCUGUGUCCAACACAAAUUCAUCUCCCAUUCCUGAUUCCAUUCCCACAGAGGUUCCUCAUCAUGUGUCUCCCAUUAGAAAAUCAACCCGUGUAUCAAAACCACCUAGUUACCUUACAGACUAUCACUGCAACCUAAUGACUUCUGGAAGUCUUCUGUCCAAAUCUUUUUCUUCUUAUCCCUUGCAUCAUUAUGUCUCAUAUGAUCAUAUAGAUCCCAAAAACAAACACUUCACCCUUUUCAUUAGUACGAUACCUGAGCCACAAACCUAUGCUGAGGCUGCUCGAUUUGACUGUUGGGUUCAAGCAAUGCGUGAAGAGCUGCAAGCUCUAGCUGAUAACAGGACAUGGGCAGUCAUGGAACUGCCUCCUGGUAAGAGGUCAAUUGGUUGCAAGUGGGUGUGUAAGGGAGUUUAUGGCCUGGAUUUUACUGACACAUUUUCUCCAGUUGCUAAGAUUAAUUCAGUUAAAGCGUUGUUGGCUGUUGCAGCAUCUAAGAACUGGCAUUUACAUCAAAUGGAUGUUAGUAACGCUUUCUUACAUGGUGAUCUGGAGGAAGAAGUUUAUAUGGAUGUUCCUCCAGGGUUAGAUAUGGAGAACACAGGUUGGACUAGACCUGUUUGCAAGCUGUACAAGUCCCUCUAUGGACUGAAGCAAGCAAGUCGACGAUGGUUUGUGAAGUUGAGUGAUGCACUCAAGGGAGAAGGUUUCCAUCAGUCAGCAGCUGACCAUUCUGUGUUUAUCUACACAGCAUCAACUGACAUGGUGGUUCUACUGGUUUAUGUCGACGAUAUCAUAUUAGCAGGUAAUAAUAUUGAUCUUAUACAGGAGGUUAAGGGCAAAUUGCACAAGCAUUUCAAGAUCAAGGAUCUAGGAGAACUAAAGUUCUUCUUGGGGCUGGAAAUCACACGUGACAGCACUGGAAUCACUAUGUGCCAGCGAAAGUAUUGCUUGGAGUUGAUUGAAGAAGCAGGCUACAUUGACAAGAAGCCUUCUAAAACUCCCGUGGACUACAAAAAUAAGCUCAGGGCAGGCGAAGGGCAACCAUUGGAGGAUGUAUCUGAGUAUAGGCAGCUAGUGGGACGACUACACUAUCUUACUAUCACUAGACCUGAUAUUAGCUACUCAGUCCAACAAUUAUCCCAGUUUCAGGCAAAUCCCACUAAUGUCCAUCUGGAGGCUGCUUACAAAGUGAUCAGGUACCUCAAGGGGGCACCUGGUCAAGGGCUAUUCUUUGGGAAGAACAACCAACUUACGAUGACAGGAUAUAGUGACUCUGAUUGGGCUAGCUGCCCUGACACGAGGAAGUCAACUACGGGAUACUGCUUGUUCCUAGGAACAGCACUAAUUGCCUGGAAAACCAAGAAGCAGAAUACUGUUUCGAGAUCAUCAUCAGAGGCAGAGUACAGGGCAUUAGCACAAUUGUGCUGUGAGGUGCAGUGGAUGAAAUUCCUGCUUGAAGAUUUUGGGAUCGUGCAUUCAGAAGCAGCGAUGCUGCACUGUGACAACCAGUCAGCUCUACACAUUGCACACAACCCUGUGUUUCACGAGAGGACGAAACACAUAGAGAUCGAUUGUCACGUUGUUAGGGAACGAUUGCAAUCGGGAAUGAUUAAGUUGAAUUAUGUUCCCACUGAGGUUCAGCUAGCAGAUAUGUUCACGAAAGGACUGACUGCUGCUCGCAUGAAGAUGUUGUUAUACAAGCUGGGAAUCGUUAAUAUAUACUCCCCAGCUUGCGGGGGGCUGUUAGAAUCGAAGGAUGGCAGCUAGUAAGUGUAAAAGAGUGUGGUAGAGUUAGUUAUUACUGUUGUAACUAACUUUGACUUCAUUGCAUUCCUUUCCUUUUGUACAUAUAUAGUUGCAGAGCUGUACAAUGAAACUAAGAAAUACAAUAACAGAAUUCUACAUUUCUCUCUGUCUACACACUCUCAACUCUCUGAAUUCACAGUUUUCCUUCUGUAGUUUACAUAAAGGUCUCAUUCUUAGUUGUAGCUUUCAGAAAUGGAUUAACCAAAUAAGUUCCCGUAAGCUAGCUUCCGCCUCAUUGUUAAUAACUCUAUAUGAACAGUCUAAUAAUUAUAUACGCCUCUGUAACUAGGUAGAUCCUACAAAGUAUAAGACUCAGCAGGUAAGAGAUUGAAUCAAUAACAAUGUACUGCAGAAUAAUGCGAAUACAGGCUCUGGUUUUGGUACUGCUAUUGGUGGUUGCUAAUGGCGAGUACCGUGAUCACAAGUGCACCUGCAAGCGCUACAGAGAUAUGUGUAACCAAUGCGACGUUGGUGCUGGACGAUGCUGUAGCCGGCAUGGAUAUUGUAGUUCUACCGAUUGCCCACCUCCUGAUGCUGCUGCUGCUGCUGGAACCGGCCUGCUGGUUCCGGCCACCUACAACGACAGAAAUCUUAUCCCUCAAGCUUCUGACCGGAACUUGUCGAUUGCAUGGCGAAGGAGUUAUGGUUGGGUGACCAUCUGUGGGCCGUCAACAGUUGUAGCACUCGAUCAUGUUCAGGCUCGUCGGUGCUUAAAGGUCCGUCUCGUUUUUUUAGUGAUUUGGGGACUGUGUUCUUCCUAGGUUAUAUUGAUCCUUGAUUUAAGUGAUUUGGUGAUCAAACUAACUACUAACAUAUAAUAUAUAAUCCAUGGUCCACACAUAUUUAUAACUACGACCCUUGUGAGAUCGGUAUUGACAAUUGCAGAAUCAGCCGUAGGCGAACCUAAAUCACCACUCAAAGUCUCCAAAAUAACCAAGUGCUAUGCAAAAUUUUAAAAAGAAAUUCAAAAUUUUUCGCACAGCGUAACAUUCAAAUUCACUUCAAAUUUGAAAUUCUACCGAGGGCUAUCCUACUUCUGCUAUUUUGACAGAAUUUGAAUAGUAAUCAGUUGGAUUUAAAUACAGUAAUUGGUUUGGUGUUGCAUAAUGCAGGUAACUAAUAGGGUCAAUGGGAAAGAAGCAGUGGUGAGAAUUGUGGAGAAAGAGUGUAGAUCAAGCAACACAAGUGGUAUUAGUUUGGAGUUGGACUAUGUUGUUUUCCAACGUCUCCACCAAAGUGGUAACAGAAAUUAUGUAAGAGGCCACCUACUGGUCUCCUACCACUAUGUUCACUGUAUCGAAUAGAAUCACUAGAUUAUGUGGCCGGGCAAUGCUGCGGAAUCCUUAAUCGGAGCUAGGAUCAUGUUGAACCUACGAAAUCAUGACAUGUUUAACCGUGUAUCGAUCUUAUCGCGUUAAUUCUGCAAAUCUUAAUUGGUUCGAUUUCAGCAACAUGAACUGGACAUGUUUUUUCACUAGGAUGACUUGGUCAUUUUGGACAAACCAAAUAAACAUAACAGAGUUCAUCAGCAGUACCACAAGCUUACAAAACCACAUUAUAUAUAUCCAAUGAACCAACCGAAAUUACAUUAACCAAACCGUACAUUUUCCCCAUCUCUCAAUCAAGAUCUCAUCCUGUUGAUCUGGUUCAAAGCCGGCUGCAGAAUGUUGUAAAGCACCCACAGAAUCGCCGGCGCCACCACAAUCAGCAACAGAGUGCCCCUGUUGUCGCUCCCGGUGGCGGCCGCCUCUGCAGCCGCAGCUUACGCCUCAGGAGCCGUCUCCGCCAGNNNNN